CACGAAUCUCAAAGAGCUAAUUAAUAAAACCUAUAGGGUGAGUAUGUAGCAUAAUAUGUGUAUAUUAUUAAUUAGGGGUGAAAGGCCUGUCAAGUUGAGUGAUAGCUUGAUUUUUCUGAAACACUGAAAUAUUAAGGCRGCUUAAGGUUGACAAGGACCUUAAGUAAGACAAAAGUUUAUGUUAUAUCUUUGCUAGUCUAAUCGCUUGUAAAGGAGAAAAUUUAUCAUUCAUAAAUUAGACUUGUUAAAAGUAGGAAAAAAUUGCUAACAUUUAUAGAUGUUUAUAAUGUGGAGAUGAGUAUAAAAGGUAAGAUUAAUGAACUUGGCAAUAUACUUUUCAACUGUUUAUCAAAAACAUAGCUAUAAGAGUUUUAUUUAUAGUUAUUUCUGCUCUAUGAAAAUUAAAUGGCCGCAGUACCUUGACUGUGCUAAGGUAGCAUAAUCAGUUGGCUUAUAAUUGAAGUCUUGUAUAAAUGAAAACAUGGGGAGUAACUUUAUCAAUUUUAAAGGUGAAAUUACUUAGGAAGUGAAAAGACUUCUGCGGAUAAAAUAGACGAGAAGACCCUAGAAACUUUCAGAAUUGGGUUUAUUUUUUUUUGUUGGGGCAACAUGAUAAGUAAACAUAUAAUAUGAACAAGUAAUAAAUAUUUAGGUAGAAUAAGUUACUCUAGGGAUAACAGCAUAAUUUAAAAAAGUUUGUGACCUCGAUGUUGGACUAAGGAACUAUUGCUUAGAA
rnacentral:rRNA from 1 species